AUUGAACGCUGGCGGCAUGCUUUACACAUGCAAGUCGAACGGCAGCGCGGGCUUCGGCCUGGCGGCGAGUGGCGAACGGGUGAGUAAUGCAUCGGAACGUGCCCAGUAGUGGGGGAUAGCCCGGCGAAAGCCGGAUUAAUACCGCAUACGACCUGAGGGUGCAAGCGGGGGACCGAUAGGCCUCGCGCUAUUGGAGCGGCCGAUGUCGGAUUAGCUAGUUGGUGGGGUAAAGGCUUACCAAGGCGACGAUCCGUAGCUGGUCUGAGAGGACGACCAGCCACACUGGGACUGAGACACGGCCCAGACUCCUACGGGAGGCAGCAGUGGGGAAUUUUGGACAAUGGGGGCAACCCUGAUCCAGCCAUGCCGCGUGCGGGAAGAAGGCCUUCGGGUUGUAAACCGCUUUUGUUCGGGAAGAAAUCCUCUGGGCUAAUACCCCGGGGGGAUGACGGUACCGGAAGAAUAAGCACCGGCUAACUACGUG
rnacentral:rRNA from 1 species